GCCCUGUCUAAAGAAUCCAAGAAGCCAGAUUCAAAAUGUCAAAUUGGAGACUUAGAAUCAGAAAAAUCAUCAAGGAAAACCUCACCAACAUAAAUUUUCAAACUGAACAAAAGUGAGCACGACCAAAAGAAGGAAGAACAGGAAGACAUACACAACUGGGCAUCUACGUCAAAGUGGGGGCUCACUGUGUUAAAAAAAAAAAAAGAAACUCAUUCUCAAAGUUAAUUUUAUCCUUCAGAUUUACACAAGUACUCGUGAUUCUUAAAGACAUUCAUUUUAUCUGUGAUAGUGGGGCCCUGCAUCAGAUUCCCUACACCAAAGGAGAAAGCUUUUAUGUAAUUAUAGUAAUGGAAAUAUUUCUAGACGUGUUUUUAAUUAUUUUAUUUUUCAAAGAUAUCUUUAUAGAUAAGCAGAUUGCUGGAAGUCUAUAAAGCCUGUGAAUUGGAGAGUGGGAUACAGAAUAGAAAAUAUACAGUUAGCACAGUGCAAAGACCAGGUAGUGGACACAUAGGGAAGUUCUAGAGUCCUGCAUACCCUGAACUGUGAAUUUUUUUUAGACAGAAUCACUUUUCUGUUUACUGAAUGCCAGCUUCUAACUAAAGCGAGCUCUAGACUACCUGUCUGGAGAUGAUGUAGAAGGUCUACAGAGUUGCUGCCUUAUCAGGGUAUAGGGUGGGACUCAAUUGCUAACAGUAUGAUUGAGAAAGUGUCAGACAGAAGCUCCAAGCUAACGCCAUUCAUGACUGAGACCAAAUCUAAAGUCUUGAUUUUAUUGCCUCGAAGCCAUGUAACCGCAACCAUAGGAACAUGUAACAUGUAACAUGUAACCGCAACCAUAGGAACAGCACAAGACUUCACAAGAAGCACCUCAUGUAGGUCUGUCAGUCUGAAGAGACCCCAUGCUGUCUGAGGUGAGGUGAGGAUUGAAGACAUACUUGAUGUAUUGUGGUCUUGGUUCUCAGAGCCCUCAGUCUCCUCCCUGGCCUCCUGGACCAGCUGAGCCCAGGCUGAAAUGCCCAUACUCUCUGACUGAGUGGUCCUCCCAGCCAGUGGGAAC
rnacentral:lncRNA from 1 species